rnacentral:antisense_RNA from 1 species
UUCAAUGGCGGGGCCGUGUGGGAGGGCGCAAGCCCUGCCGGUUUCCUUUGGGCCGGUCCGCGAACCCGCACGGUUCCCGCCUCCCCA